AAGUCGAACGGCAGCACGGGGGCAACCCUGGUGGCGAGUGGCGAACGGGUGAGUAAUACAUCGGAACGUGUCCUGUAGUGGGGGAUAGCCCGGCGAAAGCCGGAUUAAUACCGCAUACGCUCUACGGAGGAAAGGGGGGGAUCUUAGGACCUCCCGCUACAGGGGCGGCCGAUGGCAGAUUAGCUAGUUGGUGGGGUAAAGGCCUACCAAGGCGACGAUCUGUAGCUGGUCUGAGAGGACGACCAGCCACACUGGGACUGAGACACGGCCCAGACUCCUACGGGAGGCAGCAGUGGGGAAUUUUGGACAAUGGGGGCAACCCUGAUCCAGCAAUGCCGCGUGUGUGAAGAAGGCCUUCGGGUUGUAAAGCACUUUUGUCCGGAAAGAAAACGCCGUGGUUAAUACCCGUGGCGGAUGACGGUACCGGAAGAAUAAGCACCGGCUAACUACGUGCCAGCAGCCGCGGUAAUACGUAGGGUGCAAGCGUUAAUCGGAAUUACUGGGCGUAAAGCGUGCGCAGGCGGUCCGCUAAGACAGAUGUGAAAUCCCCGGGCUUAACCUGGGAACUGCAUUUGUGACUGGCGGGCUAGAGUAUGGCAGAGGGGGGUAGAAUUCCACGUGUAGCAGUGAAAUGCGUAGAGAUGUGGAGGAAUACCGAUGGCGAAGGCAGCCCCCUGGGCCAAUACUGACGCUCAUGCACGAAAGCGUGGGGAGCAAACA
rnacentral:rRNA from 1 species